rnacentral:snoRNA from 1 species
UAUCCAUAGUGUAGGCACUUCUGAAUCAACAUCUUGAAAUGCUCACAUGCUUCAUGAAGGCUUUCUCUUUCUAACUACUUGAACAUCAAAAUUUCCCUUCUUAAUUA